rnacentral:miRNA from 1 species
UUUUUGUUAUAAGUAUAUCCCAUAAAAUAUUUGGCACAUACUUAUACUAAAA